UACGUAGGGUGCAAGCGUUAAUCGGAAUGACUGGGCGUAAAGGGUGCGUAGGCGGUCUGUUAAGACCAAUGUGAAAGCCCCGGGCUUAACCUGGGAAUGGCAUAGGUGACUGGCAGACUAGAAUAUGGCAGAGGGAGGUGGAAUUCCACAUGUAGCAGUGAAAUGCGUAGAUAUGUGGAAGAACACCGAUGGCGAAGGCAGCCUCCUGGGCCAAUAUUGACGCUGAGGCACGAAAGCGUGGGGAGCAAACAGG
rnacentral:rRNA from 1 species